UACGGAGGGGCUAGCGUUGUUCGGAAUUACUGGGCGUAAAGCGCACGUAGGCGGCUUUGUAAGUUAGAGGUGAAAGCCCGGGGCUCAACUCCGGAAUUGCCUUUAAGACUGCAUCGCUAGAAUUGUGGAGAGGUAAGUGGAAUUCCGAGUGUAGAGGUGAAAUUCGUAGAUAUUCGGAAGAACACCAGUGGCGAAGGCGACUUACUGGACACAUAUUGACGCUGAGGUGCGAAAAGCGUGGGGAGCAAACAGGG
rnacentral:rRNA from 1 species